UGAGGAAUCUUCCACAAUGGGCAAAAGCCUGAUGGAGCAACGCCGCGUGCAGGAUGAAGGCCCUCGGGUCGUAAACUGCUUUUAUAAGUGAAGAAUAUGACGGUAACUUAUGAAUAAGCACCGGCUAACUACGUGCC
rnacentral:rRNA from 1 species